rnacentral:rRNA from 1 species
GAUGAACGCUGGCGGCGUGCCUAAUACAUGCAAGUCGAGCGAACAGACGAGGAGCUUGCUCCUCUGACGUUAGCGGCGGACGGGUGAGUAACACGUGGAUAACCUACCUAUAAGACUGGGAUAACUUCGGGAAACCGGAGCUAAUACCGGAUAAUAUAUUGAACCGCAUGGUUCAAUAGUGAAAGACGGUUUUGCUGUCACUUAUAGAUGGAUCCGCGCCGCAUUAGCUAGUUGGUAAGGUAACGACUUACCAAGGCAACGAUGCGUAGCCGACCUGAGAGGGUGAUCGGCCACACUGGAACUGAGACACGGUCCAGACUCCUACGGGAGGCAGCAGUAGGGAAUCUUCCGCAAUGGGCGAAAGCCUGACGGAGCAACGCCGCGUGAGUGAUGAAGGUCUUCGGCUCGUAAAACUCUGUUAUUAGGGAAGAACAAAUGUGUAAGUAACUAUGCACGUCUUGACGGUACCUAAUCAGAAAGCCACGGCUAACUACGUG